rnacentral:lncRNA from 1 species
CUGAGUGCUGCGGUGCGCCGGACCAGCCGGGACGUCAGCAUCAUGAAGGAGAAGCUUAUUUUCUCAGAGAUCAGCGAUGGUGUAGAGGUCUCCGAUGUGCUCUCCGUAUGUUCAGACAACAGUUAUGACACAUAUGCCAACAGCACCGCCACCCCUGUGGGCCCCCGAGGGGGUGGCAGCCACACCAAGACCCUCAUAGAGCGGAGUGGGCGUUAGCUGAAGACAUGUCUGUCCCACCUGUACCUGACACAGAAGCUGGGGAGCCUAGGAGAGCUGGUGGAAGUGUGUCUGAACUCGGAGUGCUCUGGGAGCGGGCUCCACAGCCUCCUUGUGGGCUCCAGCCCCUUGUCAGCCGCAGCCUCUCUUGAGGGGGACUCCCUGUCUCCUGAGGCCCAGCUGGGCCAGGACUCCAUCCUUUCAGAUGCCCCUGCAGGCCUGGGGCUCCUUCUGGGAAGUAUGGGGCCUAGGGCUUGGUCCCCCUCUUCUGAGGCCCUCUCCUGUAUCCCGACCUGGAAGCUUUGAUGGGUCAUGGGCCAUGCCAUACCCCCUGUGGCAAUGGAGUGUGUGGAUGCUCACCUGUGCCAUCUGUCCUCCUGUCUGUGCCAGGAGGCACCUGAGUUCUCUGCUGUUAUCCUGCCCCAAGGGCCUGGGCCGAGCCUCUACCUGAAGCAACUCUGCUCUUCCUGUCAGUCUCAAAGCACAAGGAGGUUCAGCCCAGGAGGAAGCCAGCUGCAAUGUGGAGACACGUCCUCCUCCCCAACCCACCUCAUGCCACCGCCAACCCCCUGCCCCAGGAGCGGGCCUGAGCCACGUCCUCUAGGAGCAGCUGGAGAUGGCCAAAAGAGUGAGCUCAGGACUACUGGAUCCCAUGCCCAGGUGUCCAGCAGACCUCAAGGCAGAAGGGUCACCUAACCCAGGAGUCCACAGACUGAUGUGACCUCAGGUUCCCACAUCAGUGGCCACAGGGCAGGGCCCACCUGGUAGAAGUGUUCUGGAUAUGGCCAGGGUGGGUGUGUGGCUAAGUGGGCCUGAACAGAGGGAACCUAGGGCCCUUGGCCAAUGUGAUUAAAGCUGCCAUCUUG